rnacentral:rRNA from 1 species
GUGGGGAAUAUUGGACAAUGGAGGCAACUCUGAUCCAGCCAUGCCGCGUGUGUGAAGAAGGCCUUUUGGUUGUAAAGCACUUUAAGCGAGGAGGAGGCUUACCUGGUUAAUACCUGGGAUAAGUGGACGUUACUCGCAGAAUAAGCACCGGCUAACUCUGUGCCAGCAGCCGCGGUAAUACAGAGGGUGCAAGCGUUAAUCGGAUUUACUGGGCGUAAAGCGCGCGUAGGUGGCCAAUUAAGUCAAAUGUGAAAUCCCCGAGCUUAACUUGGGAAUUGCAUUCGAUACUGGUUGGCUAGAGUAUGGGAGAGGAUGGUAGAAUUCCAGGUGUAGCGGUGAAAUGCGUAGAGAUCUGGAGGAAUACCGAUGGCGAAGGCAGCCAUCUGGCCUAAUACUGACACUGAGGUGCGAAAGCAUGGGGAGCAAACAGGAUUAGAAACCCGGGUAGUCC